rnacentral:rRNA from 1 species
AUUUUGAACCGCAUGGUUCGAAAUUGAAAGGCGGCUUCGGCUGUCACUUAUGGAUGGACCCGCGUCGCAUUAGCUAGUUGGUGAGGUAACGGCUCACCAAGGCAACGAUGCGUAGCCGACCUGAGAGGGUGAUCGGCCACACUGGGACUGAGACACGGCCCAGACUCCUACGGGAGGCAGCAGUAGGGAAUCUUCCGCAAUGGACGAAAGUCUGACGGAGCAACGCCGCGUGAGUGAUGAAGGCUUUCGGGUCGUAAA